CUUAUUUUGAGACCGCGAUGGACGUCCACUGGAUCUUAGGCAGCUUCGUCUUGGCCAGACAGACGGAGUCACUCUGGGGGCUCUCUCUCCCUCUUCCGCCCGGUUUGUCGAGGCUAUCGGAGAAAAGAAGGUAGAAGAAGAAUGUGGGGCUCCGCUCGAGUGACGUUUCGGCGUCUUGCUACUGCGGUGGCCGGUGCACCCGUGGAGCGGUGGGCUUUUGUCCAUCACCGGACGAAUCAGAAAAGUUUGAAGAGG